rnacentral:lncRNA from 13 species
AUGCAGGAAGCUUCUAAGUGCAAGAUUGGGUCGUUGGGACAGCAGCAACAGCAUUGCUCACAUCUGAAAGCCCAAAUGUUGAGAGUAGUUAACACUUCACCACAAUCAGCUCUGACUAGAGAAAGAGAAAAACUAAGUACUUGGUGGCAGCAUCACAAUCCAGGAGCACCCCAGUCGGCACACAAUAGCGAAAGUAGAUCUUGCCCCACUGUUGGCUUUUCUUUGUUAAAAGUCCCUCAUCCUUACUAUGAGUCCUAAGACUAGUAGAGAUAGAAAGUGUCAGCAAUGUGCAGAACAAGAUUUUCAAGCACUUCUCCCAUUAUAAAAGCAUCAAUUUGAACAACUACCUACGCAUAAAAAUACCUUCACACCAGCUAGGAAAUCCAGCUGAGAGAUUACAGCACCCAGGUAAAGCACAGAAAUAAGGAAAGAUGCAUUUAAAAGCGUACAAAAGAUAGUUUCUUUUUUUUAAUUUUUUUAUUGUAUUUUAGGUUUUGGGGUACAUGUGCAGAACAUGCAAGAUAGUUGCAUAG